GAUUCAGGUGGGCGGGCUGGUGGGCAGAAGGGCAGACGGGCAGAGGAAGUGCCACUGCCACUGGGACCAUGGCUCUGACGGUAUGCGUGCAACGACUAACAGGGCUGACCGGCACCCACGACCGACAAGUGAAGCUCACCUUUCGAGGCUUUACCCAGAAAACAAGAAAAAUUCACUGUGGUCAAGAAGCAGAUAUCGGUGAGCUGUUCCGAUGGCCCCACUAUGGGGCUCCACUGGCUGGGGAGUGUCUGUCUGUGCAGGUGGUCAACUGCAGCCGUGUAUUCAGCCCUAGGCCUCUAGGGACCCUGGUGAUCUCCCUGCAGCAGCUACAGAAUGCUGGGCAUUUGGUGCUACGGGAAGCCCUAGUGGAUGAGAAUCUUCGAGUGUCCCCGAUCCAGGUGGAGCUUGACCUGAAGUACCAGCCCCCAGAGGGCGCUAUUGGAGCCUGGUCAGAGGAGGAGUUUGGGGCACCCAUCCAGGACAGCUUGGAGUUAAUCGUCCCCAAUGUGGGCUUCCAGGAACUGGAGCCUGGGGAGGCCCAGCUGGAGCGGCGGGCAGUGGCUCUAGGCUGCAGGCUAGCUCGAAGCCUAGGCCAGCAGGACGAUGAGGAGAAUGAGCUGGAGCUUGAGCUGGAGCAGGACCUGGAUGAUGAGCCUGACGUGGAACUUUCUGGUCUUAUGUUCAGCCCCCUCAAGAGCCGCACCAGGGCUCUGGCCCAUGGGGAUCCCUUCCAGGUGUCCAGAGCUCAAGACUUCCAGGUGGGAGUCACAGUGCUGGAAGCCCAGAAACUGGUUGGAGUCAACAUUAACCCCUAUGUGGCCGUGCAAGUGGGGGGGCAGCGCCGUGUGACCGCCACACAGCGUGGGACCAGUUGCCCCUUCUACAAUGAGUACUUCUUGUUCGAAUUUCAUGACACAUGGCUUCGCCUCCAAGACUUGCUGCUGGAGAUCACGGCUUUCCAUUCGCAGACCCUCCCCUUUAUGGCCACCCGGAUAGGCACCUUCAGGAUGGACCUGGGCAUCAUCUUGGACCAGCCAGAUGGCCAAUUCUACCAAAGAUGGGCUCCGCUGCAUGAUCCCCAGGACACCCGCGCCGGGACCAAGGGUUUCGUUAAGGUCACCUUGUCCGUGAGGGCGCGCGGGGACCUGCCCCCUCCAAUGCUACCCCCGGCCCCAGGGCACUGUUCGGACAUCGAGAAGAACCUGCUCCUGCCGCGCGGGGUGCCCGCCGAGAGGCCGUGGGCGCGGCUCCGCGUGCGCCUGUACCGCGCCGAGGGGCUUCCUGCGCUGCGCCCGGGGCUGCUGGGCAGCCUGGCUCGCGCCCUGCACGACCAGCGCGUCCUGGUGGAGCCCUAUGUGCAGGUGUCUUUCCUGGGGCAGGAGGGCGAGACGUCGGUGCGCGCCGAGGCGGCGGCGCCCGAGUGGAACGAGCAGCUGAGCUUCGUGGAGCUCUUCCCGCCGCUGACGCGCAGCCUCCGCCUGCAGCUGCGGGACAACGCGCCCCUGGUCGACGCGGCCCUCGCUACGCACGUGCUGGACCUGAGGCGGAUCUCCCAUCCGGGCCGCGCGGCGGGGUUUAACCCUACCUUCGGCCCGGCCUGGGUGCCCCUCUAUGGCUCGCCCCCCGGCGCGGGGCUCCGGGAUGGUCUUCAAGGUCUCAACGAAGGCGUUGGCCAAGGCAUUUGGUUCCGCGGCCGCCUUCUGCUGGCUGUGUCCAUGCAGGUGUUGGAAGGGAGAGCUGAACCUGAGCCUCCCCAGGCCCAGCAGGGGUCCACGUUGUCCCGGCUCACCCGAAAGAAGAAAAAGAAAGCCAGAAGGGAUCAGACCCCAAAGGCGGUUCCGCAGCACGUGGACGCCAGCCCCGGUGCCGAGGGGCCUGAGAUUCCCAGUGCCAUGGAGGUGGAGGUGGAGGAGCUGCUGCCGCUGCCAGAGAAUGUCCUGGCGCCCUGUGAAGAUUUCCUGCUUUUCGGUGUGCUCUUCGAGGCCACCAUGAUCGACCCCGCCGUGGCCUCCCAGCCCAUCAGCUUCGAGAUCUCCAUUGGUCGCGCAGGCCGUCUGGAGGAGCCAUUGGGCCGAGGGUCCAGGGCCGGGGAGGGAACUGAGGGCGCAGCUAUGGAGGCUCAGCCUCUGCUGGGAGCCAGGCCAGAGGAGGAGAAAGAGGAGGAAGAACUGGGGACCCCUGCUCAGCGGCCUGAGCCCAUGGACGGCAGCGGGCCGUACUUCUGCUUGCCUCUCCGUCACUGCAAGCCAUGCGUGCAUGUGUGGAGUUGCUGGGAGGACCACACCUGGCGCCUGCAGAGCAGCAACUGCGUGCGCAAAGUGGCUGAGAGGCUGGACCAGGGGCUACAGGAGGUUGAGAGACUGCAGCGCAGGCCGGGGCCUGGCGCCUGUGCACAGCUCAAGGAGGCACUGGAAGUGCUGGUGGCUGGGAGCAGACAGUUUUGCCGCGGCGCCGAGCGCAGGACGAUGACCCGGCCCAAUGCCCUGGAUCGAUGCCGAGGGAAACUCCUGGUGCACAGCCUGGUACGGCCUCAGGAAGGGACUCAGGGGCGCCUAGCUGGGGCCUUCCGCUCAUGCUGUCUUUUUGCCCUCCCAGAACCUUUUGGCUAAGCAAGGACUGCGACUUCUACAUGGCCUGAGACGGGGCAAUGUGCAAAAGAAGGUGGCUUUGGCCAAGAAGCUCCUGGCAAAACUGCGCUUUCUGACUGAGGAGCCCCAGCCACCCCUCCCCGACGUGCUGGUCUGGAUGCUCAGCGGGCAGCGCCGCGUGGCCUGGGCCCGGAUCCCUGCCCAGGAUGUGCUGUUCUCUGUGGUUGAGGAGGAACGGGGCCGAGACUGUGGGAAGAUCCAGAGUCUAAUGCUCACGGCACCUGGGGCAGCCCCUGGUGAGGUCUGUGCCAAGCUGGAGCUCUUCCUGUGGCUGGGCCUGGGCAAGCAAGCCAAGGCCUGCACCUCUGAGCUGCCCCCGGAUUUGCUGCCCGAGCCUUCGGCUGGGCUGCCCUCCAGCCUACACCGGGACGGUCCUGGAGCAGACGCUGAGCCCUCUGUGGGAUGAACUCCUGGUAUUUGAGCAGUUGAUUGUGGACGGGAGGAGGGAGCACCUGCAGGAGGAGCCUCCAUUAGUGAUCAUCAAUGUCUUUGACCACAAUAAGUUUCCCUCAGUGCCCAGUGAUGUGGAGCCCCAGGAUCUGGCACCCCUGGUCGAGCCCCACUCUGGACGCCUGUCCCUUCCACCCAAUGUGUGCCCAGUGCUCAGGGAGUUCCGUGUUGAGGUGCUGUUCUGGGGUCUUAGGGGCCUUGGUCGUGUGCAUCUGUUCGAGGUAGAGCAGCCCCAGGUUGUACUGGAGGUAGCUG
rnacentral:sRNA from 1 species